AGUAACGCGUGGAUAACCUGCCUCACACUGGGGGAUAACAGUUAGAAAUGACUGCUAAUACCGCAUGAGCGCACAGUACCGCAUGGUACGGUGUGAAAAACUCCGGUGGUGUGAGAUGGAUCCGCGUCUGAUUAGCCAGUUGGCGGGGUAACGGCCCACCAAAGCGACGAUCAGUAGCCGACCUGAGAGGGUGACCGGCCACAUUGGGACUGAGACACGGUCCAG
rnacentral:rRNA from 1 species